rnacentral:sRNA from 1 species
GUCAAAAACGGUAUAAAAUGGAAGGACCAAACCCGAUGAUAUCUUCGUUUUAAAUCAAUCAACAUGAAACUGAUUCUGCUCACUGCUGUGCUAGCUAUCUGGGCAUCGGGAUGCAAUGCUGCUCUUAAUACUAUUCCUGAAGAGAAGUGGGAAGAGCUACCACCACUACCAGUAGAUUAAAAACUAAAAUUGGUUUAGAAAUAUUCAAAUAUACAAUCAUAAUGCAGAAAUAA